rnacentral:rRNA from 1 species
GCUUGAGGGGACUGCGGAGC